CAGCGGAGCAUGUGGUUCAAUUCGACGCAACGCGAAGAACCUUACCAAGGCUUGACAUCACCCGGAAAGCUUCAGAGAUGACCCUCGGUACAGGUGUGACGAGCGCAACCCCUGUUCUGUGUUGCCAGCGCCUGGGACGUCAAGUAUCAUGCCCCUUAUGUCUUGGCUGCAUACAUGGUCGGUACAUGAGCUGCGAUACCGCAAGGUGGAGCGUCUCAAAAAGCCGGUCUCAGUUCGGAUUGGGGUGCAACUCGACCCCAUGAAGUCGGAGUCGCUAGUAAUCGAGAUCAGCAUUGCUGCGGUGAAUACGUUCCCGGGCCUUGUACACACCGCCGUCACGUCACGAAAGUCGGUAACACCCGAAGCCGAUGGCCCAACCCUUGUGGAGGGAGUCGUCGAAGUGGGACUGGCGAUUGGGACGAAGUCGUACAAGGU
rnacentral:rRNA from 1 species